rnacentral:tRNA from 1 species
AUUUAUGUAGUUUAAUAAAAACAUUACAUUUUCACUGUAAAAAUAAAUUCCCUUUUCAUAAAUA